CGCUUCCUCCCCCGACUGCGUCCAGGCCGCGGCGGCCGGCGCCCGCACUCUGGUCUCGUCACUUUUCGUCGCCCCCUCCAGCAAAGAUCCCUUAUCCACCGCCGGGGUUGACAUGAUCCGGGAGGCGUUGGUGAAGAUGGGCCAACCGGAUCUGCCUUUUACUGAAGCCAGUGACCGCCUUGCCUCCGAUCCGCCGCCGGGCAUGGUCGCCAUUUACACGCCCUUUGUUGAUGCCGGUCUCGUUCUCCCGCUUCCCCCUCUGGUGGCCGAGGCGAUGCACUACUGCGGCGUCGCAAUCUCUCAGUUUCCUCCGGCCGCCAUCGACCGCCUGAUGAUUUUCGACCUUCUCUUGCGUCGGGCCGGCUGCCACGUCUGCC
rnacentral:lncRNA from 1 species